GUGGGGAAUCUUCCGCAAUGGACGAAAGUCUGACGGAGCAACGCCGCGUGAGUGAUGAAGGUCUUCGGAUUGUAAAGCUCUGUUAAUCGGGACGAAAGAGCCUAGUGUGAAUAAUGCUAGGAAGUGACGGUACCGGAAUAGAAAGCCACGGCUAACUACGUGCCAGCAGCCGCGGUAAUACGUAGGUGGCAAGCGUUGUCCGGAAUUAUUGGGCGUAAAGCGCGCGCAGGCGGAUCUGCCAGUCUGUCUUAAAAGUUCGGGGCUUAACCCCGUGAUGGGAUGGAAACUACAGAUCUAGAGUAUCGGAGAGGAAAGUGGAAUUCCUAGUGUAGCGGUGAAAUGCGUAGAUAUUAGGAAGAACACCAGUGGCGAAGGCGACUUUCUGGACGAAAACUGACGCUGAGGCGCGAAAGCCAGGGGAGCGAACGGGAUUAGAAACCCGAGUAGUAC
rnacentral:rRNA from 1 species